AUUGAACGCUGGCGGCAGGCCUAACACAUGCAAGUCGAGCGGAUGAAGGGAGCUUGCUCCUGGAUUCAGCGGCGGACGAGUGAGUAAUGCCUAGGAAUCUGCCUGGUAGUGGGGGAUAACGUCCGGAAACGGGCGCUAAUACCGCAUACGAUCUGAGGGAGAAAGUGGGGGAUCUUCGGACCUCACGCUAUCAGAUGAACCUAGGUCGGAUUAGCUAGUUGGUGGGGUAAAGGCCUACCGAGGCGACGAUCCGUAACUGGUCUGAGAGGAUGAUCAGUCACACUGGAACUGAGACACGGUCCAGACUCCUACGGGAGGCAGCAGUGGGGAAUAUUGGACAAUGGGCGAAAGCCUGAUCCAGCCAUGCCGCGUGUGUGAAGAAGGUCUUCGGAUUUUAAAGCACUUUAAGUUGGGAGGAAGGGCAGUAAGUUAAUACCUUGCUGUUUUGACGUUACCAACAGAAUAAGCACCGGCUAACUUCGUG
rnacentral:rRNA from 1 species